GGGUUGUGAGGUUAAGCGACUAAGCGUACACGGUGGAUGCCCUGGCAGUCAGAGGCGAUGAAGGGCGUGCUAAUCUGCGAUAAGCGCCGGUAAGGUGAUAUGAACCGUUAUAACCGGCGAUACCCGAAUGGGGAAACCCAGUGUGAUUCGUCACACUAUCAUUAACUGAAUCCAUAGGUUAAUGAGGCGAACCGGGGGAACUGAAACAUCUAAGUACCCCGAGGAAAAGAAAUCAACCGAGAUUCCCCCAGUAGCGGCGAGCGAACGGGGAGGAGCCCAGAGCCUGAAUCAGCAUGUGUGUUAGUGGAAGCGUCUGGAAAGGCGCGCGAUACAGGGUGACAGCCCCGUACACAAAAGCGCAUGUGCUGUGAGCUCGAUGAGUAGGGCGGGACACGUGGUAUCCUGUCUGAAUAUGGGGGGACCAUCCUCCAAGGCUAAAUACUCCUGACUGACCGAUAGUGAACCAGUACCGUGAGGGAAAGGCGAAAAGAACCCCGGCGAGGGGAGUGAAAAAGAACCUGAAACCGUGUACGUACAAGCAGUGGGAGCCCCACCACCAAAGCAUUCUCUGGUGUUGAAGGCCCUGCAAAGCAGCAUCGCGGUGGCGGAGCGUCGUUUGCGACGCCCAACACAAAAAACAAGCGGUGAGUGCUUUGGGGUGGGGUGACUGCGUACCUUUUGUAUAAUGGGUCAGCGACUUAUAUUCUGUAGCAAGGUUAACCGAAUAGGGGAGCCGCAGGGAAACCGAGUCUUAAUUGGGCGUUAAGUUGCAGGGUAUAGACCCGAAACCCGGUGAUCUAGCCAUGGGCAGGUUGAAGGUUGGGUAACACUAACUGGAGGACCGAACCGACUAAUGUUGAAAAAUUAGCGGAUGACCUGUGGCUGGGGGUGAAAGGCCAAUCAAACCGGGAGAUAGCUGGUUCUCCCCGAAAGCUAUUUAGGUAGCGCCUCGUGAACUCAUCUCCGGGGGUAGAGCACUGUUUCGGCUAGGGGGCCAUCCCGGCUUACCAACCCGAUGCAAACUGCGAAUACCGGAGAAUGUUAUCACGGGAGACACACGGCGGGUGCUAACGUCCGUCGUGAAGAGGGAAACAACCCAGACCGCCAGCUAAGGUCCCAAAGUCAUGGUUAAGUGGGAAACGAUGUGGGAAGGCCCAGACAGCCAGGAUGUUGGCUUAGAAGCAGCCAUCAUUUAAAGAAAGCGUAAUAGCUCACUGGUCGAGUCGGCCUGCGCGGAAGAUGUAACGGGGCUAAACCAUGCACCGAAGCUGCGGCAGCGAACGUAUCACCCAAGACAACUUUACGGAGUUGACGAUUGACGGAGCGAAGCGACGUCAAAGCGUUCAUUAAAGUCGAGUUGGCUUAGGGAUACGUUCGUUGGGUAGGGGAGCGUUCUGUAAGCCUGUGAAGGUGUGUCGUGAGGCAUGCUGGAGGUAUCAGAAGUGCGAAUGCUGACAUAAGUAACGAUAAAGCGGGUGAAAAGCCCGCUCGCCGGAAGACCAAGGGUUCCUGUCCAACGUUAAUCGGGGCAGGGUGAGUCGACCCCUAAGGCGAGGCCGAAAGGCGUAGUCGAUGGGAAACGGGUUAAUAUUCCCGUACUUGGUGUUACUGCGAAGGGGGGACGGAGAAGGCUAUGUUGGCCGGGCGACGGUUGUCCCGGUUUAAGCGUGUAGGUGUGUGUUCCAGGUAAAUCCGGUUCACUUUAACACUGAGGCGUGACGACGAGGCACUACGGUGCUGAAGCAACAAAUGCCCUGCUUCCAGGAAAAGCCUCUAAGCAUCAGGUAACAUCAAAUCGUACCCCAAACCGACACAGGUGGUCAGGUAGAGAAUACCAAGGCGCUUGAGAGAACUCGGGUGAAGGAACUAGGCAAAAUGGUGCCGUAACUUCGGGAGAAGGCACGCUGACACGUAGGUGAAGUGAUUUACUCAUGGAGCUGAAGUCAGUCGAAGAUACCAGCUGGCUGCAACUGUUUAUUAAAAACACAGCACUGUGCAAACACGAAAGUGGACGUAUACGGUGUGACGCCUGCCCGGUGCCGGAAGGUUAAUUGAUGGGGUCAGCGCAAGCGAAGCUCCUGAUCGAAGCCCCGGUAAACGGCGGCCGUAACUAUAACGGUCCUAAGGUAGCGAAAUUCCUUGUCGGGUAAGUUCCGACCUGCACGAAUGGCGUAAUGAUGGCCAGGCUGUCUCCACCCGAGACUCAGUGAAAUUGAACUCGCUGUGAAGAUGCAGUGUACCCGCGGCAAGACGGAAAGACCCCGUGAACCUUUACUAUAGCUUGACACUGAACAUUGAGCCUUGAUGUGUAGGAUAGGUGGGAGGCUUUGAAGUGUGGACGCCAGUCUGCAUGGAGCCGACCUUGAAAUACCACCCUUUAAUGUUUGAUGUUCUAACGUGGACCCGUAAUCCGGGUUGCGGACAGUGUCUGGUGGGUAGUUUGACUGGGGCGGUCUCCUCCUAAAGAGUAACGGAGGAGCACGAAGGUUGGCUAAUCCUGGUCGGACAUCAGGAGGUUAGUGCAAUGGCAUAAGCCAGCUUGACUGCGAGCGUGACGGCGCGAGCAGGUGCGAAAGCAGGUCAUAGUGAUCCGGUGGUUCUGAAUGGAAGGGCCAUCGCUCAACGGAUAAAAGGUACUCCGGGGAUAACAGGCUGAUACCGCCCAAGAGUUCAUAUCGACGGCGGUGUUUGGCACCUCGAUGUCGGCUCAUCACAUCCUGGGGCUGAAGUAGGUCCCAAGGGUAUGGCUGUUCGCCAUUUAAAGUGGUACGCGAGCUGGGUUUAGAACGUCGUGAGACAGUUCGGUCCCUAUCUGCCGUGGGCGCUGGAGAACUGAGGGGGGCUGCUCCUAGUACGAGAGGACCGGAGUGGACGCAUCACUGGUGUUCGGGUUGUCAUGCCAAUGGCACUGCCCGGUAGCUAAAUGCGGAAGAGAUAAGUGCUGAAAGCAUCUAAGCACGAAACUUGCCCCGAGAUGAGUUCUCCCUGAGACUUAAAGUCUCCUGAAGGAACGUUGAAGACGACGACGUUGAUAGGCCGGGUGUGUAAGCGCAGCGAUGCGUUGAGCUAACCGGUACUAAUGAACCGUGAGGCUUAACCUUACAACGCCGAAG
rnacentral:rRNA from 2 species